rnacentral:rRNA from 1 species
CUUUCUUUGCUGGCGACCGGCGCACGGGUGAGUAACACGUAUCCAACCUGCCCUUUACUCGGGGAUAGCCUUUCGAAAGAAAGAUUAAUACCCGAUAGUAUAAUGAUUCCGCAUGGUUUCAUUAUUAAAGGAUUCCGGUAAAGGAUGGGGAUGCGUUCCAUUAGGUUGUUGGUGAGGUGACGGCUCACCAAGCCUUCGAUAGAUAGGGGUUCUGAGAGGAAGGUCCCCCACAUUGGAACUGAGACACGGUCCAA